CUCCAGGGCUGACUGAGUCAGUAGCUCAAGAAGAGCUUUUUCUGUUUAUCCACUCAGCCAUGCUCAGUGUUGGCUUCAUUCCAUGAUGUCCCAUCCCUGCACAACAAUGUCCCAUGAAAGAAGAAAGAUGUUCUCUUCCUGCAUUUCCUACUGGAGAAAACCUUUCCCAGAGUCUCUAGAUUUUUCUGCUCUCACUUCUCAGUGGCCAGGAUUAGGUCACAGACUCAUUCCUGACUGAAUUAUUGACAGGAGGAAUGGAAUUACCUUGAUAAGCUUAGACUGAUCAACCGGGAUGAGUUGAUGUUGGCACAUCAGCCACAAACAUCAACUACAAACACUGCCACGCACAGACCAGAUUAAUUUAUUCCCACAGAGAAUUCUUUUCACUGGUUCGGGCUUUAGCUCCCAUGUCCUGUACUUUAAUCAAGGGUAGUUCAAGGAUAAGCCACAUAAAUUUUGCUCCUACAGUGACUGACAAACAGUUCUUGAAGGCAUUGUUUUUCUUAUGUCACCUGGAGUCGUCUGUGGAAAGCCUCUCAUAAGACUAUCCUUCCAGAAUUAAAGUUGAAUUUUAAACGUCUCUUGGAGAUAAUAUGCAUCUCCCUUUCUGAAAACAAGAAAUAUGGAACUGACUAUGCUUCCCUUCCUACAAUGGCUAUCAAGAAACUCCAAGCCAGAGUGAUAAGUAAAUCACAGCCCUCUAUUAACAAUUGUGAUUACUGAUAAAUUUUUACCCUGCCUGUUUUCUUGGGCUUUAUUUUCUGUUUCUAUAUCUCUUUAACCCACAUAUCAACUAAAGCCUCCAUCCUCUCCCAACCGGCAUCUUUUAUUUCACUCUCUGUGACUCCAAGCUCAUGUCCAUCAUUGGUUGAUGCCAGAAAGCCACAAUAUUAACCUUUUGGAGAAAUUUGAAUUGCUGCAGAUCACUAGAGGAUAAUAGAAUCAUAAGGAAAUCUCAAACAUGGCAACCUCCAUCAUUUAAGAAUCUAACUCACUUGAGUCAUCAAUUCUGUUUCCCUCCUUACAUUUUUCCCAUCUCUUCGGGAGCAACACAGAUUUUUCUUUUUGGCAUGUGCAUGGCAGUUUAGGGAUCACCUUUGGAUAUUUAAGCGUGCUUUUGGGAUUUCUCUUUCCACACUGGGAAGGUCAUCAAUGUAAUCCAAACACAGUUCUCCCCAAGAGAAAGCCUGGCAAAUAAACAUUGUCUCCAUCUUCUUACAUGUAUAUUUUCUCUCAACCUAGUAUCUUUCUUUUUAAGCCACCCCCAAUCCUUUUAUGGAAAAGGCAAUCACAAAUAACUUUAGUAUAAAGCUUUCUAAACAAUGCCAUAAAGAACGCUGUUAGCUACAAAAAUAAAAUGUUUGAUAUUAGAAAAUAUGGAGGUGACUAAAACAUCUGCAGCUUAUCUGGUAAGCAGCUGUGUCAUAUAUGAAUCUCACUUUCCUACCCUUAUCCUAAUGCCUACAAUCUAAGAUGGGAAAUCGAUUGAAUAAAAUACUAGACAUUCUGAAUCCAAAACACAUGUCUCAAUUUUUUAGAGAUUGAGAUUGUAAUAAACAUUUUGAUCUAAUGAGUAUAUUGUAAUCUACAAGGAACACUCACAUAUUUCACGUUGCUACUAUACAGCAUUGCAUU
rnacentral:lncRNA from 10 species